rnacentral:tRNA from 1 species
AAGGUUUUAAGUUAAAUAAACUAAUAGCCUUCAAAGCUAUAAAUAUUAGAAAAUACCUUUUAAGCCUUA